rnacentral:piRNA from 1 species
GAGAAUUGUAUAGAGUGUGCCUACUUGGA